CUCAAAACCUUUUUCAUUCUCAUCUUCAAAACUCACCUUCAUGGCCAUUUUCAAGGCUCUUCUAUUUUCAAUUCUCAUUUCUCAAAUCAUUGUAAUUCUCGUGGAAUCGGAUACAAUGGUUAUUAUCAAGAACCCAUUAGAACAACCCAAGUCCCAGCCCUUCUUCACCUCCAACCAUAGAUUGUGAUGGUGAAUGCAAUAGAAGGUGUCAAUAUCAUCAAGACCAAAUCUAUGUAAAAGGGCAUGUGGAACUUGUUGUGAAAGAUGCAAUUGUGUGCCUUCGGUACUAGUGGUCACUAUGAGAUGUCCAUGCUAUGCAAAUUUGACUCUCAUGGUGGAAGACACAAA